AUGAGUUUGAUUCUGGCUCAGAGUGAAUGCUCGGGUAUGCCUAACACAUGCUAGUUUAAAGAAAAUAAAUUUAUUUUAUAAUCUUAGCGCAUAGGUGAGUAAAAUGUAAGAACCAGCCUAUAAAUAGUAUACUAAAUAUUUAAGUAUCACUAAGAUAUAUGGGUUGAUAUAAAUAAUAUAUUAUGUUUUUUGUUAAUUUUUAUAUUUUUUCGGAUUUAUAAAAACCUUUAAAACUAAUAUAUACAAAAAUAUUUAUAUUUAAUGUGUAUAUUAUUAUAUAUUUAAAUAAAAUAAUAUUCUAUAAAAUUUUUUAAAAUUAAAGUAAUUUUAAAAUAUAUAAAAGAUUUACUUAUCGUUUAUAGACGGGCUUACAAAGGAUUUAGAUAGUUGGUAAGGUAAUAGCUUACCAAGUCGAUUAUCCUUAGCUGUUUGGGAGAAUGAUCAGCCACAUUGGGUCUGAAACAACACCCAACUAUCGAAGUGAUGGCAGCAGUGGGGAAUCUUGACAAUAUGCUAACGCAUGAUCCAGCAAUAUCAAAGAAAUGAAGAAGAUUCAGGAGAUCGUAAAGUUUUCACAAUAAGGGAACAAAUUAAUACAUUGAUUAACUGACAUUUACUUUAUUGUUAAGCUCCGACUAACUUCGUGCCAGCAGUCGCGGUAAUACGGGGGAGCAAGUGUUACUCAUGCUGAUUGGGCGUAAAGGGUAUGUAGGUUGUUAAUUAAGUUUAUUGUUAAAUUCAAUGAGCUUAACUCUUGCAAAGCAAUUUAAUACUGAUUAACUUUGAGUAUGUAAGAGGAUAGUGGGAUUCUUAGUGGAAAGUAAAAUUUUAUGAUAUUAAGAAGACGAACCAGCGAAGGCGACUAUCCAUUACAUUACUGACACUGAAAUACAAAAGUAUAGGGAGUAAAGAGGAUUAGAUACCCUCGUAAUCUAUACCGUGACCUAUGAGUAUUGAAAUUGGGAUAUUAAUUCUAUUUUCCAGCUAACGCGUAAAUACUCCGCCUGGGACUAAGGUCGCAAGAUUAAAACUCAAAGAAAUUGACGGAGAUUUGACCAAGUAGUGGAGCAUGUGGUUUAAUCCGAUAGUCCGCGUAAAAUCUUACCAAUUCUAGUUUAUAUGUUUUAAUAUAUAAAUAUAUUAAAUUAAAUUUAAAUUAAUUUUAGUAAUUAAUUAAAUAACAUAUAAUCAGGUGUUGCAUGGCUGUCGUCAGUUCGUGUUGUGAAAUAUUUGAUUAAUUUCAAAAACGGGCGCAAUCCUUAAAUUAUAUUUAUUAAAUAUAAUUAAAUGUCAAUGAAAUAUUGAAGGAAGGUAAGGAUAACGACAAGUCGUUAUGCCUUUAUGAAUUGGGCUACACAUGUGCUACAAUGAUUAUUACAAUGAGAUGCAAAAAUGCAAAUUUAAGCUAAUCUUUAAAAAUAAUCUUAGUUCGGAUUAUUCUUUGUAAUUCAAGAAUAUGAAGUUGGAAUUACUAGUAAUCGUUUAUAAGUACGAAACGGUGAAUUUGGAACCUAAUCUUGUACACACCGCCCGUCACGCCACGGAAGCAGGUUUUAUAUUAAAUAUUUAAAAUGAUUAUUAUAUAAGUUAAAAAUAUAAAAUUUAGAUUAUUUUCUAUUUAAUUUGUAUGAUAAUUUAGAUUAAAAUAUCGGUAUAAGAUGGGCAACUGGGGCGAAGUCGUAACACGGUAGCUGUAGGGGAACCUGUGGCUGGAUUAAAAAUUUUAAUUUAAAUUAA
rnacentral:rRNA from 1 species